rnacentral:rRNA from 1 species
GACGUAGGAGGCGAGCGUUGUCCGGAUUCAUUGGGCGUAAAGAGCACGCAGGCGGUCGUUCAAGUCGCGUGUGAAAGCCCCCGGCUCAACUGGGGAGGGUCACGCGAUACUGAUCGACUCGAAGGCAGGAGAGGGUAGUGGAAUUCCCGGUGUAGUGGUGAAAUGCGUAGAUAUCGGGAGGAACACCAGUGGCGAAGGCGACUGCCUGGCCUGUUCUUGACGCUGAGGCGCGAAAGCUAGGGGAGCAAACGGG